rnacentral:sRNA from 1 species
AUGAAUUUACACAACUAAUACCGGGUGUCUCACUCACCAUUCGAUUCAUUUUUUAAGGCGGCAUUGUGAAGUUUUCAUCAAAAUCUAAAACAUCAAAUGAGUUUAUGAACUGAAAUGGUUUCUAAAAAUGAUUGAAUAAAUUCUAAAAUCCCAUAUUUGAUUCCAAAAU